GAGCCGGGGUUCGAACCACAUUUCCAUUUUUUUAUAACUGGGGAUAACAAUGCCAUGUUAACGAGCCUUAAUGACAUUGGGGUCUUUAAGGUCCCUGAAAGUGGCUAUAUGA
rnacentral:snoRNA from 1 species